rnacentral:rRNA from 1 species
UACGUAGGGCGCAAGCGUUGUCCGGAAUUAUUGGGCGUAAAGAGCUCGUAGGCGGUCUGUCGCGUCGGUCGUGAAAACUUGGGGCUUAACCCUGAGCUUGCGGUCGAUACGGGCAUGACUGGAGUUCGGCAGGGGAGACUGGAAUUCCUGGUGUAGCGGUGAAAUGCGCAGAUAUCAGGAGGAACACCGGUGGCGAAGGCGGGUCUCUGGGACGGUACUGACGCUGAGACGCGAAAGCGUGGGGAGCGAACAGG